AACUUAACUUGAUUGAAGUUUUUAAUACCAAAACCUCAGGUGGUUUUCUCAGAUAUUAGAAAAUGUCAGGUUUCUGUGUGAUAUCUACAUAGGCUGCGAUACUUUCUCAUAAUUGAUCAAGCACUUUGAGCUGAAAAUUUUUAGGAGUUCCAUUCUUUGUAGUUUGCAAGUUGCAUAAUUUAAUUCUUGUACAAAUUGGUUUCUCAAUCACUUUCUGUUCUAUAUUUUCAAUUUGUUGGCAAGCCAUAAUGAUCCUAAGCUAGCUUUCCACUUUUUUUAAAAAAAUUUUGUUAUGUGAAGUUCUUCUUUGGUUGUACAAAUUUUCAUUCCUUAGGAUUCUCGUCUUCCUUUUUACUCUUCAGUUUCAUUUGAAAGGAGUCAAACUGAAGAAAUUUGUUAAUGAGCUUUAUCUUGGUGUAAUUGCAGAUGUAGGACAGCCAGGAAGUGCUUUAUGAACUGCGUUCAAAUCUAAAUUUUAUUUUUAUAGAAUAGCUUGAGUUUGAAAUCAACAAAAAGAUAAAAUAUUCUAAUCAUGCCGACUAUAAUUUCUUAGUAUCACACCCAAGAUUACCUAUGGCAUCACUCCUAGGGUUAGAAAUAUAACGCAAACAAAUAUCCACCGGAAAACUUAAUAAUAAAAAAUUGCAAACUUAUAUAUUCAUAGGCUCAAAGUAAUGCUAACUUCUAAGCUUGUAACUAACUACUUUAACUCCUAAUCCUUAUUGGACUUUGAUUCUAAAUACAACAUCAAAAUUGACUACUAGAUUUAUUAAGUUAGUAGGAUUCUAAUAAAACUCUAAAACGAAAACAUAUUAAAUUUAUGACCUAUAAACCUAUAGUUAAUCCAUUGCAAAAUUGAUAAAAUUACUCAAAUACCCUUGCUUACCUAAACGGCUCCGCGCUACUGUUUUACUGUGAACACUUGCUAAGCAGGGAGGAAUCUAGGAUUGGAACUUUAG
rnacentral:misc_RNA from 1 species